rnacentral:lncRNA from 1 species
CUCAAGAGAGAUCUGAUGGUUUUAUCAGGGGUUUCUGCUUUUGCAUCCUCAUUUUCUCUUGCCUCCACUGUGUAAAAAGUGCCUUUUUGCCUCCAGCCAUAAUUCUGAGGCCUCCCCAGCCAUGUGGAACUGUGAGUCCAAUUAAACCUCUUUUUCUUCCUAGUCUUGGGUAUGUCUUUAUCACCAGCGUGAAAAUGGACUAAUACAAAAAUAUUAUGUCCACCCAAAGGCUUGGUGAAUACACGAGUAAUCAUAAUAGACAAAAAGGUGAAAUCACUCAAAUGCCUAUGAACUGAUUAAUGGAUAAAGUUGUCAUACCUCCAUAUAACAGAAUGCUAUUCGGCAGUAAAAGGACAAGCAGGGACUUCCAGUUCUGAGACAAGAUGAAAUAGAGACUUCUUCCUUUUCUUAGUAAGUACAGCUAAAAUCCAUGGAAAGUGUGCAGAAAACAAACCUGAGGAGACUCUGAAAGGUAUCAAGAAGAAGCCAGAUCAGCUAGGGACCUUGCGACCUGAGGAAUAACAUGGUGGUGUGUUCCCUAGAUUUUUUUUUUCUUCAUAUAUGUGCUAGAGAAGCUGUCAACCUGGAAACACCAAUGAAUACAGACCAAAACAAACCCUAGAAAAGACCAGUUUUAUUAGUCAAGCCAGGAAAGGGACAACCUAGUAAGACAGAAAACUUGUAGACAAUAACUGCCCUACUCUAGCCAAAAACAAUAGACAAACUGUGCUCCAUCCCCCACUCUCACCAGCAAAGACUGAGUAUUGAGCUUAAGACCUCUCCUGCUUGCCCAGCUGUAACAAGACCCCCCUCCUGUGUCUCUUCCCCAGUAUUCCUGCUGGGAUAGUAUCAGAAAAGGUGAAGCCCUAGUCAGGAGCCUAGAUUUUCAUUCCCACUGGGCAGUAAUGAUGUGUCCCUUCCAUCCCCCCACCCCAAACAGUAACAAGUUCCCUCUCAUGGUGUCAAUGGAGGCUAUCUGGGAAGCACUAAGGAGGCACCUCUACCCUUCCCAGCCAAGAUAUGUGUGCAGAAGCCUAGCAGGGAGCUGGGACUUGGACUCCCACCUGAUGGCAACAAGGUGGUGCUCCCACAUCUCUCACUGCACGGAGUCAGACGAGGCCUGCAAAAACAAAUUUAAAUAAGAUCUAGAGUCUCAGCAUAAUACUAAAACAUUUCAGGAUACAAUUGAAAACCAUCCAUCCUACCAAGAACCAGGAAAACUAAAUGAGAAAAGAGAAUAGAUACUAAAACCAAAAAGACACAGAUGUUGGAAUUACUUGACAAGGACUUUAAUGCAGCUAUCUUUAAAGUGAUUCAAUUUGCUAUUGAAUUAUGAAAAAAUAGAAUUCUCAACAAAGAAAUAGAAGAUGUAAAGAACCAGAUGGAGAUUUUUAAACUGAAAAUACAAUAGCCAAAAUUUUAAAAAGUCAACUGAACAGCAGAAUGGAGAGGGCAGAGAAAAAAAGUGAAGUGAAUGAACUUGAAGAUAAAACAUUAGAAAUUACCCAAUCUGAACAAAAGAGAGAAAAUAUACUGAAAAAUAAAAAUGAACAAAUCAUCAGGGACUUGUGGGACUAUUUUUAAAAGUUCUAAUAUUUGUACCAUCAGAGUCCCAGGGGAGAAGAAAGACGAUAUGGUUGAAAAGGUAUUCAAAGAAAUGAUAGCUUAAAAUUUUCAAACUUGGCGAAGGACAUAUUCAAGAAGAACUUAAGAAGUUCAGCAAACUCUGAACAGGAAAAUCCCAAAGAAAUCCACUCCAACAUACAUUAUAACCAAAUUUCUGACCACUAAAUAUAAAAUCUUGAAAACAGUGAGGACACUUUACCUAUAGGGGAAAAACAGAAUAACAGCAGAUUUGUCAUCAGAAACCGUGGAAUUUAGAAGGAAGUAGUACAUAUUUAAAGUACUGAAUGAAAAGAACUGUCAACCCAGAAUUCUAUAUCCAGCAUAUAACUGGCCCAUCAAGGUUGAAAGUUGACAGUUGUACAUUCAGAUAGCACAUCCUCACAUUAUAAGAAUUCAAAGCAAAAACAGGAUAAAGGAAAUAAUAGAGCUUCUUUCUCACGUGCUUCUCACUUGUUAAGGAGGGCAAAAAAAUUUUUUCCCAGUGACAGUUUUUCCCUCCCUCAAGAUGUAUCCAUUUGCAAGAACUGGAUCCCAUAGCCAUAGUAGAUACAAGUAUACUGAUAAAGUGAGUAUCUGAUAUUUUCAGGCUCAAUAAGUGGGAGACAGGCAAGAAAAGGGGGCAAUGAAGUGAAGAAUAGGACAUAGCCAGCCCUCAUGUUCACAAAGAACCAUAAAUUAAUGUUGUCUCUAAAUGAGGUUAGUGUCAUUGACAAGAUUGAAAAAUGACAUUUCUUACAUAAAAAAAUGUAUAAACAUUUAGUGUGCCUAAUAAUUUUUGUUGUUGUUGGGUUUUUUUGUUGUUGUUUUGUUCUUUUGUUUUGUUUUAUUUUGUUUUGUUUUUGAGGCAGAGUGUCACUCUUUCACCCAGGCUGGAGUGCAGUGGUGUGAUCUUGCCUCACUGCAACCGCCUCCCAGGAGAAUUGCUUGAACCUGGAGGGUGGAGGUUGCAGUGAGCCAAGAUCACGCCACUUUACUCCAGCCUGGGUGACAGAACAAAACUCUGUCUCAAAAACAAAACAAAACAAAAAAGAAAAAUAUAUUUUGGGAUCCCCAUAAAAAGGAAUAGCCUCGUCUCACUGAGAGAGGUUCUGCAGAUUGCUGUUCCCAGCCAUGUCUUUGUCUCUGUAGUUAGAGGUGCCAUUAGCAAAUAUUAAGAGUGUGUUCCAUGCCGUACACUGUUUCAGAUGCUGGUGAAAAAGUCAUGUCCUCUACCUCCAGGAAAAAAACCUAGGAGGAACUAUGAACUGUAAACCAGUAAUUACAAGUGUCAGGGGUGUUAUGAAAGGGAAAGUAUAAAGUGUUGUAGGAAUAUAUACCGAGAUUUAUUUAACCCAUUCUGUGGUCAGGAAAGUCCUCUGUGAAGAAGUGAUUCUAGCCAUUGUUGGUUUGGUUUUUUUUUUUUUUUUUUUUUGAAACAGAGUCUAGUUCUGUUGUCCAGGCUGGAGUGCAGUGGUGCAGUCUUGGCUCACUGCAACCUCUGCCCCCUGGGUUCAAGUGAUUCUCCUGCCUCAGCCUCCCGAGUAUGUGGGACUAUAGGUGCAUGCCACCAUGCCUGGCUAAUUUUUGCAUUUUUUAGUGCAGACGGG